GGCCCAAAUUUGAAUUAGAGUAGUUCAGAAGGGUCAACUUAUCCUACUAAUCUACUGUACUUCGAAUUUGGGCUC
rfam:Haemonchus contortus, ISE/inbred ISE, WGS project CAVP01000000 data, contig: Hcontortus_42561